rnacentral:rRNA from 1 species
UACGAAGGGUGCAAACGUUGCUCGGAAUUACUGGGCGUAAAGCGCACGUAGGCGGACUAUUAAGUCAGGGGUGAAAUCCCGAGGCUCAACCCCGGAACUGCCUUUGAUACUGGUAGUCUCGAGUCCGGAAGAGGUGAGUGGAAUUCCGAGUGUAGAGGUGAAAUUCGUAGAUAUUCGGAGGAACACCAGUGGCGAAGGCGGCUCACUGGUCCGGUACUGACGCUGAGGUGCGAAAGCGUGGGGAGCAAACAGG